AGAGAGUUUGAAUCUAGCUUUAGUUCUGCUAUAAAUUGAAUAUAUAUACAAAUAGGGAUUUUAAAUAUUUAUUAAAGUAGUAUAUAGUAUUAAUUAUCAAUGAAAUUGGAAUUAGGUAAAUUUUUAGAAUCGGCUAAAAUCGUGCCAGCCGCCGCGGUUAGACGAAGGAUUCGAGUGGAGCAGUAAAAUAAGUUUAGUAAGAUAAGGAGUGAGUAUUGAGUGAGAUAGUGAGUAAAUUUAAGGUAGAAUUUAUUUUAUUUAGUGUAUCUUUUGAUACUCAUAGUGUUUAAUCUGUAAAAUCUAGAUGAGAAACCAGGAUUAGAUACCCUGUUAUUCUAGAUAAAAUGAAUUUAGGGUAGUAAAAGUUGUUCUUCAAACCCAAAGAUUUUGGCGGCAUUUCAUCUGAACAGAGGAGCUUGCCCUGUAAUUGAUAGUCCUCGUUGAAUCUUACUUAAUCUUGUUUUUCAGUUUGUAUAUCGCCGUUGACAGGUUGCUUUAGAAGAAUGCUUCCAUCGUUAAUUGAGCUUAAUAACUUCAGGUCAUGGUACAGCAUAUGGUUAAGUAGAGGUGAGCUACAAUUAAAUUUAUUAAUUACGGAACAAAAGUGUAAAUCUUUUGAGAAGGUGGAUUUGUUAGUAAAAAGAUUUGAGAAAAGUUUUUUGAACUAGCAAUGGAAUGUGUACAUAUCGCCCGUCGCUCUCCUUUUUAAAAGGAGAUAAGUCGUAACAUAGUAGAUGUACCGGAAGGUGUAUCUAG
rnacentral:ncRNA from 1 species